AACGCUGGCGGCGUGCUUAACACAUGCAAGUCGAACGGAAAGGCCCUGCUUUUGUGGGGUGCUCGAGUGGCGAACGGGUGAGUAACACGUGAGUAACCUGCCCUUGACUUUGGGAUAACUUCAGGAAACUGGGGCUAAUACCGGAUAGGAGCUCCUGCUGCAUGGUGGGGGUUGGAAAGUUUCGGCGGUUGGGGAUGGACUCGCGGCUUAUCAGCUUGUUGGUGGGGUAGUGGCUUACCAAGGCUUUGACGGGUAGCCGGCCUGAGAGGGUGACCGGCCACAUUGGGACUGAGAUACGGCCCAGACUCCUACGGGAGGCAGCAGUGGGGAAUAUUGCACAAUGGGCGGAAGCCUGAUGCAGCAACGCCGCGUGCGGGAUGACGGCCUUCGGGUUGUAAACCGCUUUCGCCUGUGACGAAGCGUGAGUGACGGUAAUGGGUAAAGAAGCACCGGCUAACUACGUGCCAGCAGCCGCGGUGAUACGUAGGGUGCGAGCGUUGUCCGGAUUUAUUGGGCGUAAAGGGCUCGUAGGUGGUUGAUCGCGUCGGAAGUGUAAUCUUGGGGCUUAACCCUGAGCGUGCUUUCGAUACGGGUUGACUUGAGGAAGGUAGGGGAGAAUGGAAUUCCUGGUGGAGCGGUGGAAUGCGCAGAUAUCAGGAGGAACACCAGUGGCGAAGGCGGUUCUCUGGGCCUUUCCUGACGCUGAGGAGCGAAAGCGUGGGGAGCGAACAGGCUUAGAUACCCUGGUAGUCCACGCUGUAAACGGUGGGUACUAGGUGUGGGGUCCAUUCCACGGGUUCCGUGCCGUAGCUAACGCUUUAAGUACCCCGCCUGGGGAGUACGGCCGCAAGGCUAAAACUCAAAGGAAUUGACAGGGCCCCGCACAAGCGGCGGAGCAUGCGGAUUAAUUCGAUGCAACGCGUAGAACCUUACCUGGGUUUGACAUGGAUCGGGAGUGCUCAGAGAUGGGUGUGCCUCUUUUGGGGUCGGUUCACAGGUGGUGCAUGGCUGUCGUCAGCUCGUGUCGUGAGAUGUUGGGUUAAGUCCCGCAACGAGCGCAACCCUUGUUCACUGUUGCCAGCACGUUAUGGUGGGGACUCAGUGGAGACCGCCGGGGUCAACUCGGAGGAAGGUGGGGAUGACGUCAAGUCAUCAUGCCCCUUAUGUCCAGGGCUUCACGCAUGCUACAAUGGCUGGUACAGAGAGUGGCGAGCCUGUGAGGGUGAGCGAAUCUCGGAAAGCCGGUCUCAGUUCGGAUUGGGGUCUGCAACUCGACCUCAUGAAGUCGGAGUCGCUAGUAAUCGCAGAUCAGCAACGCUGCGGUGAAUACGUUCCCGGGGCUUGUACACACCGCCCGUCAAGUCAUGAAAGUUGGUAACACCCGAAGCCGGUGGCCUAACCGUUGUGGGGGAGCCGUCGAAGGUGGGACUGGUGAUUAGGACUAAG
rnacentral:rRNA from 1 species